UACGGGGGGGGCAAGCGUUGUUCGGAAUUACUGGGCGUAAAGGGUUCGUAGGUGGCUUGCUAAGUCAGACGUGAAAUCCCUCAGCUUAACUGGGGAACUGCGUCUGAGACUGAUGAGCUCGAGUGCAGGAGAGGAACGCGGAAUUCCAGGUGUAGCGGUGAAAUGCGUAGAUAUCUGGAGGAACACCGGUGGCGAAGGCGGCGUUCUGGACUGCAACUGACACUGAGGAACGAAAGCCAGGGGAGCAAACGGG
rnacentral:rRNA from 1 species